UACGAACUGUGCAAACGUUAUUCGGAUUCACUGGGCUUAAAGGGUGCGUAGGCGGCCAUGUAAGUAGGGUGUGAAAUCCCCCAGCUUAACCGGGGAACUGCGCCCUAAACUGUAUGGCUGGAGUGAGAUAGGGGUGUGUGGAACUUCCGGUGGAGCGGUGAAAUGUGUUGAUAUCGGAAGGAACGCCGGUGGCGAAAGCGACACACUGGGUCUCAACUGACGCUGAGGCACGAAAGCCAGGGGAGCGAACGGG
rnacentral:rRNA from 1 species